AAACUAUUAUCCAUCGCACAUAUAUUUUAAAAUAAAGCAUAAUAUACAUUUUAAACAACAAGUGGCAGGAAAAAAAAAAAACUUCUUCGGUUUUCAUAGCCGGGAGCUCGCGGGAACCUAAUAAUAACUUUAAAGGCCCUGAAAGCUAUACAGAUCUGAGAUAUCACUGGAAGGUACAGAACUGCGAUGCGGAUCGUUGUCCCAGAUGUUUCGAAAAUGGCAGCUCUUGGUAGAAACUUCGCAGAUGAAGAUCGGGGAUAAGGAAGCUGAUGCGCCGGCUAUACUUCUAGCCUUGUCCUUGGCGAGGUCUUCGGGAUGGAAAGAAUUUCCCGAGGAAUUUCCAUCGAAUGGCCCAGAAUUAAGUUAUGCCCCAAUGGUCAGCAGCCAAAAAAACAAAUCAUUGAGAAACUAAGAUGUGCUACAUAUCAUGAAAUAAAUAUGAUAACCUUUAGGCUACAUUUGUAUCACAUGAUGGAGAGUCACUUGAUGUUAUCCAAUUUUGGGUAAUCUAUAUGGCAUUGUACUCCAAGAUACACUCCAUCAAGUGAUAAAGCUUGUAUACUAUAGACUGACUAUGUUAUAAAAAUACAUAUUUUCAAUUGCA